rnacentral:lncRNA from 1 species
GGCUUCAAAAGGUUUUACAAAAGGUUGAUGUUAGGUUAUAUGUAGGCUAAAGAAUCAAGGAAGGUUUAAGCUAAGUGUGGCGUAGAAAGAAUAGGAGAUGAGUAGGAAAGAAUACUAGACUUACAAACUCGAAAACACUUUCUCAAUUUGCAGCACUUGAAUCACAACACCUUUUUUUUAAUUCACGAUUUGUUUUUUUUUUCAAUUCACUUUUUUUUUAAUUUCGAAUGUAUAUAUUUUUUUCUUUUAAUUUCAG